rnacentral:rRNA from 1 species
UUGGAGGGCAAGUCUGGUGCCAGCAGCCGCGGUAAUUCCAGCUCCAAUAGCGUAUAUUAAAGUUGUUGCAGUUAAAAAGCUCGUAGUUGAAUUUCGGGAUUGACACAUCGGUCGUGCCUUAAGGGGUAUGAACUGGUGUAGUCAAUUUCUCACCUUCUGGAGAACCGCGAUGCCCUUAAUUGGGUGUCGCGGGGAACCAGGACCUUUACUUUGAAAAAAUUAGAGUGUUUAAAGCAGGCAUUUUGCUUGAAUACAUUAGCAUGGAAUAAUAAAAUAGGACGGCAUGAUUCUAUUUUGUUGGUUUCUAGGAUCACCGUAAUGAUUAAUAGGGAUAGUUGGGGGCAUUAGUAUUCAAUUGUCAGAGGUGAAAUUCUUGGAUUUAUUGAAGACUAACUACUGCGAAAGCAUUUGCCAAGGAUGUUUUCAUUAAUCAAGAACGAAAGUUAGGGGAUCGAAGACGAUCAGAUACCGUCGUAGUCUUAACCAUAAACUAUGCCGACUAGGAAUCUGACGAUGUUAAUUUUUUAAUGACUCGUUUGGCACCUUACGGGAAACCAAAGUGUUUGGGUUC